CUGGCUUCUUUUGUUUGACCAGUCUCUGAGGUAAGGGUGCAUGUAUCACCCUUUGUGCAUUUCUUGCUGGCUUUUCUCUGUUAGGAUUUUCUGGCACAAGAUGUGCCACCUGUUCUGCAACUUACUUGUUCACCUUUUCUUUGCCUUUUUCCUCUUAACUCUGCUCAACCACCACUUCAGUAAGUUCUGUUGGUUCCUCUACCUCUAAUUGAACUGUAGUGGCUGG
rnacentral:lncRNA from 1 species